AGGACGAACGCUGGCGGCGUGCUUAACACAUGCAAGUCGAGCGAGGCCCCUCCUUCGGGAGGGUGUCCUAGCGGCGAACGGGUGAGUAACACGUGGGCAACCUGCCCUCAGCUCUGGGAUAACCCCGGGAAACCGGGGCUAAUACCGGAUACGACCUCCUUAGGCAUCUGAGGUGGUGAAAAGUUUUUCGGCUGAGGAUGGGCCCGCGGCCUAUCAGCUUGUUGGUGGGGUGAUGGCCUACCAAGGCGACGACGGGUAGCCGGCCUGAGAGGGUGACCGGCCACACUGGGACUGAGACACGGCCCAGACUCCUACGGGAGGCAGCAGUGGGGAAUAUUGCGCAAUGGGCGAAAGCCUGACGCAGCGACGCCGCGUGAGGGACGAAGGCCUUCGGGUUGUAAACCUCUUUCAGCAGGGACGAAGCGAAAGUGACGGUACCUGCAGAAGAAGCACCGGCCAACUACGUGCCAGCAGCCGC
rnacentral:rRNA from 1 species